UUGGAGGGCAAGUCUGGUGCCAGCAGCCGCGGUAAUUCCAGCUCCAAUAGCGUAUAUUAAAGUUGUCGCAGUUAAAAAGCUCGUAGUUGAAUUUCGGGAUCAAUACGUCGGUCGUGCUUUCGGGUACGUACUGGUGUCAUUGGUUUCUCCUUUCUGACGAACCAUGAUGUCAUUAAUUUGGUGUUAUGGGGAGUUAGGACUGUUACUUUGAAAAAAUUAGAGUGUUUAAAGCAGGCAUUAGCUUGAAUACAUUAGCAUGGAAUAAUGAAAUAGGACGUUCGAUCCUAUUUUGUUGGUUUCUAGGAUCAACGUAAUGAUUAAUAGGGAUAGUUGGGGGCAUUAGUAUUCAAUUGUCAGAGGUGAAAUUCUUGGAUUUAUUGAAGACUAACUACUGCGAAAGCAUUUGCCAAGGAUGUUUUCAUUAAUCAAGAACGAAAGUUAGGGGAUCGAAGACGAUCAGAUACCGUCGUAGUCUUAACCAUAAACUAUGCCGACUAGGGAUCGGAUGAUGUUAAUUUUUUAAUGACUCAUUCGGCGCCUUACGGGAAAC
rnacentral:rRNA from 1 species